rnacentral:rRNA from 1 species
GACGAACCGUGCGAACGUUGUUCGGAUUCACUGGGCUUAAAGGGCGCGUAGGCGGCUUGCCAAGUCAGGGGUGAAAUCUUUCGGCUCAACCGGAAAACAGCCCCUGAUACUGGUGAGCUGGAGGGAGGUAGGGGCGGAUGGAACUUCCGGUGGAGCGGUGAAAUGCGUAGAUAUCGGAAGGAACGCCGGUGGCGAAAGCGAUCCGCUGGACCUCUUCUGACGCUGAGGCGCGAAAGCCAGGGGAGCAAACGGG